CAAAUUCGGUCACUUUCUUUUUGACUCAUCUGUAGUUGGUUCAACCGGUCACGUGGGAAUAAACUUGAUGAAUACAUCCUGAAAAUGGCUUUGGGGAUAAUGACAGUAUAUGGAUGUGAUUGGACGGAGGAGCAGAUAUAUAAAGUGUUUGAGGACCUACGUGGAUCUGUUUG